AUUGAACGCUGGCGGCAGGCCUAAAACAUGCAAGUCGAGCGAGCGGCGGACGGGUGAGUCAUGUCUUGGAAACUGCCUGAUGGAGGGGGAUCACUACUGGAAACGGUAGCUACUACCGCAUACCAUCAGAUGUUCCCAGAUGGGAUUCGCUAGUAGGUGGGGGAACGGCUCACCUAGGCGACGAUCCCUAGCUGGUCUGAGAGGAUGACCAGCAACACGGGAACGGAGACACGGGCCAGACUCCUACGGGAGGAAGAAGUGGGGAAUAUUGCACAAUGGGCGCAAGCCUGAGGCAGCCAGGCCGCGUGUGGGAAGAAGGCCUUCGGGUUGUAAAGCACUUUCAGCGGGGAGGCGUUACCCGCAGAAGAAGCACCGGCUAACUCCGUGCCAGCAGCCGCGGUAAUUC
rnacentral:rRNA from 1 species